ensembl:lncRNA
AUAUAUAUAUAUAUAUAUAUAUAUAUAUAUAUAUAUGCGUAUACACAUGUAUAUAUGUACAUAAAUGAAUUUAUCACAAUUAUAUAUAUAUCAUGGAUACGUUAGUAAAUGAUAACAAGGUAAAUGGUACAAACGAAAACAUAAAUGAAGAUUCAAAAGAUUUAUUACUUGAUUUUAUGAAUGUAAAUGAUAAAAGUGACGAUGCAAAAUAUGGAAGUCGAAGUCGAGGUAGAGGUAGAGGUCGAAGUAGAGGUAGGGAUAAAGAAAGAGAUCGGAAUAGAGAACGAAAUAGAGAUUCGACAGAUGUAUCAACAGGUGUAGAUGAACAAGAUAAAUUAGAUGUACCAUCCUUAGUUGAGUUUUGUAAACAACAAUUAAUAAUUAUAUUAAAAGAUAUGUGUGCAGAUUCACCAAAUUUAGAUGAAAAAGCUUCAUUUAUGUAUCAUUUGAAUAGACUAAGAAGUGCUGUAACAGUAGUAGAUUUACAUAAUUAUAUUGCCGUGUUUGGUCCUUGUUUAAGUUAUAAUAAAUUACCAUCUACAUGGAAAAUAUCAGUAUGUGAUUAUUUAAAACAACAGUUAAAUAUAUUGAGAGCAGCUGAUUCUCAACAAUGUUCAAGUGGUAAUAUAAAUACAUUAAAUCCAAUGUAUAGCUUAAAUAACGACAACAAUAACAACGGUAAUAGUGGUAAUAAUAGUAAUAAUGGUAAUAAUGGUAAUACUGGUAAUAAUAGUAAUACUGGUAAUAAUGGUAAUACUGGUAAUAAUGGUAAUACUGGUAAUAAUAAUAAUAAUAAUAUUGCAACUAAUGAAACUGAAAAGAAUUAUUCAAAAGAUGUAUAUAUUGAUCCUAAUGGUAAAAAUAGUGGUAACAAUAAUUACAGUAUUGACAAUGAAAAUUCACUUGUAUUAUGUAAAAAUGAUAAAAAUAUGGUUCAAAAUAAUUUAAAAAAUCCUGAUAAAAAAGAAAUGAAAGAUACAUCUUUAUAUUAUUUAUAUGGUAAUACUCAAAUUAAAACUGAUUGAAAAAAAGAAAAUGAAUCAUAAAAAAAAAAAAAAAAAAAAAAAAAAAAAGUGUAGCAAGCGUUAUAUGUAAGUGUAAAAUAAGGUUAAACAGACAUAUAUAAAUAUAUAAAUGGAAAGAAACAAAUUAUUGUGUGAAAACAUGUGUUAGGUACAUAUAUAUUACUAUACAAUUAAUAAUGUUUAUUAAUUUUAGAAGUGUAACUAACACUCUCGUAUGUUUAUUCGUACGUAUAUUCAUAUGAUUAUUUGUGUAUACAUAAAAAUAUUAACAUUUAUAAAAUUUAUAUGUUUUAUUAUAUGUUUAACCAUUUAACCAUUUGUUUGAGUAUAUGUUUUGGUAUAUACCUCACUAUGUAUGUACGUAUAUUUAUAUAUAUAUAUAUAUAUAUAUAUAUAUAUAUAUAUAUAUAUAUAUAUAUAUAUAUAUAUAUAUAUNNNNNNNNNNUAUAUAUAUAUAUAUAUAUAUAUAUAUAUAUAUAUAUAUAUAUAUAUGUACACGCGUACAACAGUCACUUUGAAUUUUUUUAUUUUUUUAUUUUUUUAUAAUAUUAUUUAUACAAUUUUUCUUUUAUCAUUUCGACCUUUUUACCUUUAUU